GACGAACGCUGGCGGCGCGCUUAACACAUGCAAGUCGAACGGAAAGGCCUGCUUUCCCUUGUGGAUUGCGGGUACUCGAGUGGCGAACGGGUGAGUAACACGUGAGUGAUCUGCCCCCAACUUGGGUAUAAGCCUGGGAAACUGGGUCUAAUUCCCGAUAGGACUGCAGGGUGGUGCCUGUGGUGGAAAACGAUUUUCUAGUGGUUGGGGAUGAGCUCGCGGCCUAUCAGCUUGUUGGUGGGGUAAUGGCCUACCAAGGCGGCGACGGGUAGCCGGCCUGGGAGGGUGGACGGCCACAUUGGGACUGAGACACGGCCCAGACUCCUACGGGAGGCAGCAGGGGGGAAUAAUGCACAAUGGGCGGAAGCCAGAUGCAGCGACGCCGCGUGGGGGAUGACGGGCUUCGGGUUGUAAACUCCUUUCGACCGCGAGGAAGCCACCUGGUUGGAAGGGUGGUGACGGUAGUGGUAGAAGAAGCACCGGCUAACUACGUG
rnacentral:rRNA from 1 species